rnacentral:rRNA from 1 species
UUUUCCGGUGCGGUGCUACCAUGGAGUCGGACGACUCUUCGGAGGGAGUGGCGGACGGGUGAGUAACGCCUCAGGAUCGGCCCUUAAUAGGGGGAUAACUACUGGAAACGGGAGCUAUUACCCCAUGUGCCGAGAGGUGAGAGUUAUUUCGCUUAAGGAGGACCUUGCGUCAGAUUAUCUAGUUGGGGGGGUAGAGGCCUACCAAGGCGACGAUCUGUAUCUGUUCUGAGAGGGAGAGCAGCCACACUGGGACUGAGACACGGCCCAAACUCCUACGGGAGGCAGCAGUGGGGAAUUUUCCGCAAUGGGCGAAAGCCUGACGGAGCAAUACCGCGUGAACGAAGAAGGCUCUAGGGUCGUAAAGUUCUUUUAUUAGGGAAGAAAUUUGACGGUACCUAAUGAAUAAGCAUCGGCUAACUCCGUGCCAGCAGCCGCGGUAAGACGGAGGAUGCAAGCGUUAUCCGGAAUUAUUGGGCGUAAAGAGUACGUAGGCGGCUAUGUAAGUCUAGGGUUAAAGGCCACGGCCCAACCGUGGAGAGGCCUUGGAAACUGUAUAACUAGAGUGCGGAAGGGGCAGAGGGAAUUCCCGGUGUACCGGUGAAAUGCGUAAAUAUCGGGAAGAACACCAGUGGCGAAAGCGCUCUGCUGGUCCGCAACUGACGCUGAGGUACAAAAGCUAGGGUAGCAAAAGGGAUUAAAUACCCCUGUAGUCCUACCCGUAAACGAUGGACACUAGGUGUUGGACGUAUCGACCCGUGCAAAACCGUAGCAAACGCGUUAAGUGUCCCGCCUGGGGAAUACCCCCGCAGUGGUAAACUCAAAGAAUUGACGGGGGCCCCACA